CAAGAGGCCCCUGUUUCCGAAACCCCUCUGUCCCCAAAGCUGCGACAGCAGAAGACACUUAGGCGGCCUGAGGGGUUGGUGAACCACAGAGGAGCUCAGCUUCGCCUGGUCUCCAGCUCCCGGUGGCGGUGGCGUGUCCUUAAUGCUGCUGGCUUUGAACUGGACUGAGAACUAUUUACCACACAAACACCACCAUUUCAAUCCCGGAGAAUGCCUGUUUUCCCUAGGGUGACCUGGCCGGGGUAACAAACACUUGUUCUCUAAUUCCACGGUCAGCCUUGACUUAAUUGAGGUACUUGAUUUCCAACUUCCUGUCUUGCUGCCACAGAUAAUCACUGAUGAAACCAAACAGGCAACACCUUUUGGUGGCCUGUGGAGAGCGCUGCCCCGUCUGGGUCUUAGGAAGGCAAUUGAAUAUGAAUGUUCUCCCGAGUGCUUGUGGAAAAGAGAUGGUGUUGGCCACUUUUUAGACGAAGAGAAAUGAGUACUAGUGAACACUAAUCAUAGUGACUAAACAGUAAACGGCUCCCAUUUGUUGUCGGCUAAAGCACUGAUUCUUCAUUUUCCAUCCCAGCCUGUCCUGCUCUGGCCUGCCCUGUGCUCAGGAAGCUGGCGGUCCCCCUCAGUGGAUCUUCACCCACAGGGACAACCUGCUGCAGACCGGGCUCUACGAACAGAACUUCUCCCCGCCCCCAAGCCUCUUAGGGUGAGACAUGUUGUCGGUCUGCCAUUGUUGCUGGUCCCUAAAUAGCAGCACCCUUUGAAGGAUCCUUGAACCAUGACCACACCGCAACAAAGAGUCCUUCAUCAAACUCGCUUCCAAAUCCCCUCCCAAGAACACCUUCAGUUUCCUGCAAGAACCCUGACUGCUGAAGCCGGAUUUUGACUAAGCUUCUACCUUGUAAACCGUGACUGUGGGAUUGGGGUCGAGGCGCAAUCAGAGGUUGUAUAAGGCACUAGAUCAAGGCUGCCUGUCUGUCAGGAGUGUCUGCUUUAUUCAGUAGUAAAUGUGAAUUGUUUUUCAUUCUGUUGUGAAUACUGUUGGUUGACAAUGCAGCAGCCAUGCCCUCUCUAUCCUUGCUGGUUCAGGUAUCCACUCUGUGUGGCUAAGGGUAAACUCUGUCUCUUGAGAAAAUCUUGGUAACUCCAUUUCUCUUUCCAACAAUUGGCUUCAAACAAGCUCAAGUCAAUGAGUCCCAACAGGAAGCCUGCUGGGGGUUGUCUGGCAAAGGUUUUCUCACUCCUACAGGAACAUAAAGAGGAAAUGCUCCUUUUUCCCUGGUGAAUGUUGCAUUCCCUGUCUGGAUGCAAUGCCUGGUGCUCCGCAGCCCUUUGCACUUAUAAGAGAAGGUGGCCGGAAGAGCAUCUUCACCCUGGGGUGGCCGCCUGGGAAGAUGAGAAGAGCAGGAGUCCUUGGUGGCACAACCAGGCAAUUCACCAAAAUCCUGCUGCCCUCACCUGGAAUUUCCUGCUAUGAGAGACGUCUCCGUUUAAACCACAUGAGCUGGAUUUUCUGUUUCUAACACAUGUCAGCAUCUUCACGGUAAAUCUAAGAAAAAAAAAUCAGGGCUAUUAAAAAACAAAGUCCAACUCACCCUGUGCUAUGGUCUGAAGGUGUCCUCCCAAAUUCACACGUGGAAACCUAAUCCCAAAUACCUGAUACCUAAUCCCAAAUAUUAAGAGGUGGGGGCCUUGGGAGGUGGUUAGGAAUGGGAUUAGUGCCCUUUAAAACUGAGGUUUUUGGGAGCCUGCUUGCCCUUUCUGCCAUAUGAAGAUGCUUAGAAGAGGCCUUCUAUGAAGCAGAGAACUUUUCUCAGAUGCCAGAUCUGCUGGGACCUUGAUCUUGGAUUUCUCAGCCUUCAGAACUGUGGGAAGCAAACUUCUGUGUGUAUGAAUAGCCAUCUAAAGGAUUUUGUUACAGCAGCCUGAGCAGACUAAGACACCCUGUGAGUCAGUUAUUUUUGGCUGUGUCACGAGUGACCGCGAGUGCAGGAGCUGAAACGGCAGUGAGUGGGUUACCAUUUCUCAGGACCCUGCGGAAUUGGUGCGAUGGUGCUUCUGCUCCACCUGUUGUUGGCUGGGAUUGUCCUGCAGCUGCAUUCUUCUGGGG
rnacentral:lncRNA from 1 species